rnacentral:rRNA from 1 species
GACGAACGCUGGCGGCGUGCUUAACACAUGCAAGUCGAACGGAAAGGCCCUGCUUUUGUGGGGUGCUCGAGUGGAGAACGGGUGAGUAACACGUGAGUAACCUGCCCUUGACUUUGGGAUAACUUCAGGAAACUGGGGCUAAUACCGGCUAGGAGCUCCUGCUGCAUGGUGGGGGUUGGAAAGUUUCGGCGGUUGGGGAUGGACUCGCGGCUUAUCAGCUUGUUGGUGGGGUAGUGGCUUACCAAGGCUUUGACGGGUAGCCGGCCUGAGAGGGUGACCGGCCACAUUGGGACUGAGAUACGGCCCAGACUCCUACGGGAGGCAGCAGUGGGGAAUAUUGCACAAUGGGCGGAAGCCUGAUGCAGCAACGCCGCGUGCGGGAUGACGGCCUUCGGGUUGUAAACCGCUUUCGCCUGUGACGAAGCGUGAGUGACGGUAAUGGGUAAAGAAGCACCGGCUAACUACGUG